rnacentral:misc_RNA from 1 species
UCUCCGUUGGUGAACCAGCGGAGGGAUCAUUACAGAGUUGCAAAACUCCCAAACCAUUGUGAACGUUACCUAUCCCGUUGCUUCGGCGGGCGGCCCGGGCCCCGCGCCCGGCGCCCCCCGGCCCCCCGUGGGCGCCCGCCGGAGGUAAACCAAACCCUUGAAUUGCAUGGCCUCUCUGAGUCCUCUGUACUGAAUAAGUCAAAACUUUCAACAACGGAUCUCUUGGUUCUG